rnacentral:rRNA from 1 species
AGAGUUUGAUCCUGGCUCAGAAUCAACGCUGGCGGCGCGCUUAACACAUGCAAGUCGAACGAGAAAGGGGAGCAAUCCCUGAGUACAGUGGCGCACGGGUGAGUAACACGUGGGUGAUCUACCUCUUCAGUGGGGGAUAUCUCUGGGAAACCGGAGUUAAUACCGCAUAAGUUCGAGAGAAGAAAGCGAGCAAUCGCGCUGAGAGAGGAGCCCGCGGCCGAUUAGCUAGUUGGUGGGGUAAAGGCUCACCAAGGCCGAGAUCGGUAGCCGGCCUGAGAGGGCACACGGCCACACUGGCACUGAAACACGGGCCAGACUCCUACGGGAGGCAGCAGUGGGGAAUCUUGCACAAUGGGGGCAACCCUGAUGCAGCGACGCCGCGUGAGCGAUGAAGCCCUUCGGGGUGUAAAGCUCUUUCGACGGGAACGAUAAUGACGGUACCCGGAGAAGAAGCUGCGGCUAACUACGUGCCAGCAGCCGCGGUAAUACGUAGGCAGCAAGCGUUGUUCGGAGUUACUGGGCGUAAAGAGUGCGUAGGCGGUUCCGUAAGUUUGGUGUGAAAUCUCCCGGCUUAACUGGGAGGGUGCGCCGAAAACUGCGGGGCUGGAGUAGGGGAGAGGUAAGCGGAAUUCCUGGUGUAGCGGUGAAAUGCGUAGAUAUCAGGAGGAACACCGGCGGUGUAGACGGCUUACUGGACCCUGACUGACGCUGAGGCACGAAAGCGUGGGGAGCAAACAGGAUUAGAUACCCUGGUAGUCCACGCCCUAAACGAUGCACACUUGGUGUGAGCGAUUCAUUUCGUUCGUGCCGGAGCUAACGCGUUAAGUGUGCCGCCUGGGGGAGUACGGGUCGCAAGGCUGAAACUCAAAGGGAAUUGACGG